CUGGGGACCCGGGAGGCCGGGCUGGCACAUCGAGUGCUCUGCCAUCGCUAGUAUGGUAUUUGGAAGUCAACUGGAUAUCCAUUCAGGUGGGAUAGAUUUAGCUUUUCCACAUCAUGAAAACGAAAUUGCACAGUGCGAAGUCUUUCAUCAGUGCGAGCAGUGGGGAAAUUAUUUUCUGCAUUCUGGGCAUUUGCACGCCAAAGGCAAAGAAGAAAAAAUGUCCAAAUCAUUAAAGAACUACAUUACUAUUAAGGCUCAGAGCUGGCUGGAUCCUUAACCAACCUGAAAAAUGGCAUCAUGCUAUGCUGCUGACACAUGGAAUGUGAAUUUUCGUGUGAAUGGAAAACAGGCACACCCACGGAGGGCUCUGGCUGACAUAGUUUGAACUCCUCCUUUGUCUUCUGGCCUGUCUUUAAAGCCAGAUUUAAUUUAAUUGCAAAAUAAAUGGAGAAGAAUAGUAUCCAGA
rnacentral:lncRNA from 1 species